AACGAACGCUGGCGGCAUGCCUAACACAUGCAAGUCGAACGAGACCUUCGGGUCUAGUGGCGCACGGGUGCGUAACGCGUGGGAACCUGCCCUUAGGUUCGGAAUAACUCCCCGAAAGGGGUGCUAAUACCGGAUAAUGUCUUCGGACCAAAGAUUAAUCGCCUUUGGAUGGGCCCGCGUUGGAUUAGCUAGUUGGUAGGGUAAAAGCCUACCAAGGCGACGAUCCAUAGCUGGUCUGAGAGGAUGAUCAGCCACACUGGGACUGAGACACGGCCCAGACUCCUACGGGAGGCAGCAGUUGGGAAUAUUGGACAAUGGGCGAAAGCCUGAUCCAGCAAUGCCGCGUGAGUGAUGAAGGCCUUAGGGUUGUAAAGCUCUUUUACCCGGGAUGAUAAUGACAGUACCGGGAGAAUAAGCUCCGGCUAACUCCGUG
rnacentral:rRNA from 1 species